rnacentral:lncRNA from 1 species
UAUUCGCGCGCUAUCUCAGUCGGUAGCGAUCACCACCGCGGACCGGACUGUUUUCUCGGCGAUGGCGCGGACACAAGACACAUGCCGCAAGACGAAAGAUUAUUCUCGCGUUGUUGGUGCGUCGUCUGCGUCGCAAGAAGAACAGGUCUCUCUACAUAAGGGAUAUAUUUGACAAGCGUCCAGAGUAUGGAGAAUACCACCACCUAGUACAGGAGCUUCGGCACAGUGAUCCUGAAUAUCAUUUCAAGUACUUCAGGAUGACAAAGGCAUCAUUCAACAAGCUGCUGAGCCUUGUUUACCACAGGCUUGUUCAUCCUCCAACUCACAGGAGACCCAUCUCACCGGCAGAGAGGCUCGGGGUGACAUUGAGAUUUCUGGUCACAGGAGGGUCCAUGGAGGACAUUGCAUUGAGCUACCGAAUGCAUGCUUCUACUGUAGCUAGCAUACUGAAGGAGCAUUACCAGCGAUCUGGGACUGCUUGAGGCCCCUGGUACUCGCACGCCCAAGCACACAGAGGUGGCGCGACAUAGCUAAGGAAUACCAUGACAAAUGGGAUUUUCCA